rnacentral:rRNA from 1 species
GACGAACCGUCCAAACGUUAUUCGGAAUUACUGGGCUUAAAGAGCGCGUAGGCGGCACGGUACGACCGGUGUGAAAGCCCCCGGCUCAACUGGGGAGGGUCACCGGUAACGGCCGAGCUACGAGUGCAGGAGAGGGAAGUGGAACUCCGGGAGUAGCGGUGAAAUGCGUAGAGACCCGGAGGAACACCAGUGGCGAAGGCGGCUUCCUGGUCUGCAACUGACGCUGUGGCGCGAAAGCUAGGGGAGCAAACGGG